GUCUUUUAGAUUAUAAUUUAAAGUCUAACCUGCCCUAUGAUUUAUUAAAUGGCCGCAGUAUUUUGACUGUGCAAAGGUAGCAUAAUAAUUAGUUUUUUAAUUGAAAGCUGGUAUGAAAGGUUGAACGAGAAAAUAUCUGUCUCAAUUUAAUUUAAUUAGAAUUUUAUUUUUUAGUAAAAAAGCUAAAAUAUUUUUUAAAGACGAGAAGACCCUAUAGAGUUUUAUAUUUAAAAUUAUUUAUUUUUUAGAAUUUUUUUAUAAUUUAUGUAUUUUAUUGGGGUGAUAAAUAAAUUUAAUUAACUUUAUUUUUUAAAUUCAUUAAUAUAUGAUUAAUUGAUCCAUAAAAAUGAUUAAAGAUUAAAUUACCUUAGGGAUAACAGCGUUAUUUUUUUUAAGAGUUCUUAUCGAAAAAAAAGAUUGCGACCUCGAUGUUGGAUUAAAAUUUAUUUAUGGUGUAGAAGCUAUAUAAUUAGGUCUGUUCGACCUUUAAAAUUUUACAUGAUCUGAGUUUAAACCGGUGUGAGCCAGGUUGGUUUCUAUCUUAAAAUUAAUAAAAUAUUUUAGUACGAAAGGACCAAAUAUUUAUAAUACUUAUUAAAUUUUGAUUAC
rnacentral:rRNA from 1 species